UGAUCUCUUUUUCUACAUCUGGGAAGGAGAACAACUUGAUACAUCAGUGCUCUUAUGGGUCGAGUCUGCAAUGUCUUGAGGACAACUCGAUCUUUCAUGGAUUUCGAGUGGUGUCGAUUGACGAAUGGAGCAUGUGUCGAUCGAUGUUGAGACGCUGGUGUCGAUCGAUGUUGAGGUCGCACUACAAGAAAAAAACAAGGAUACUG
rnacentral:lncRNA from 1 species